rnacentral:rRNA from 1 species
CCUGACGCAGCGACGCCGCGUGAGGGAUGGAGGCCUUCGGGUUGUAAACCUCUUUCGCUCAUGGUCAAGCCGCGACGUGGGUUGUGGUGAGGGUAGUGGGUAAAGAAGCGCCGGCUAACUACGUGCCAGCAGCCGCGGUAAUACGUAGGGCGCGAGCGUUGUCCGGAAUUAUUGGGCGUAAAGGGCUUGUAGGCGGUUGGUCGCGUCUGCCGUGAAAUUCUCUGGCUUAACUGGGGGCGUGCGGUGGGUACGGGCUGACUUGAGUGCGGUAGGGGAGACUGGAACUCCUGGUGUAGCGGUGGAAUGCGCAGAUAUCAGGAAGAACACCGGUGGCGAAGGCGGGUCUCUGGGCCGUUACUGACGCUGAGGAGCGAAAUCGUGGGGAGCGAACAGGAUUAGAUACCCUGGUAGUCCACGCUGUAAACGUUGGGCACUAGGUGUGGGGGCCACCCGUGGUUUCUGCGCCGUAGCUAACGCUUUAAGUGCCCCGCCUGGGGAGUACGGCCGCAAGGCUAAAACUCAAAGGAAUUGACGG